UAGCCUGUAGAGACUCAACUGUGGAGCUCCCAGUUACAGGCAGAAAUCAUGUUGUAGCAUUUGCUGUUGGUGGCAUUGCUGUACUACUUUGCUUUGUCAUCAUCUUUUCCAAGUACAGACAUCUAAUGUAAUCCGUUGGUGUUGUUUAAAAAAAAACAGACACAUUUUUGGGAAAUUGCUUUAUUUUUUGGACCAAGAAUUUAUGACACUUUAGUCAGUGCUGACUGUGUCUCACCACUGCCUGCUGUUUGGAUCUUUUGAUCAUUCAGAAAAAAGUUUCCUAAUUUCCAGCAUGAGGAAACACUUACAGCCACAGGUGCAAAAAAUGAAUAAGGGGGUGACAUAUAAUACUUAAAUCUGCUUGCGCAGGGGAAAGAAGGCAUGUGACAGUUUUGGAGCCAUCUAUGUUCCCCCAAAAGACAAUUUGUAACUUGCAGCUGUCACUUGUAUGUUCUGUGUUUCUGUUCUACCUGCCUUGUCCUAGUUUUCAUUUGUUGCUUGAUUAGUUCUUUUGUUUCCACCCGUGUUCAUUUAUCUUAGUCCAUCGUUUGGUUUUGUAUACCUGUGUUCCUUUCUUAUCUUAUUAGUCCUCAGUUUGUUUGUCCUGUUUCCGUCAUGUAAAGAGUUUUUUUUUCUCCUGUUUUUUAAGAUUCUGUUUAUUUGAUAUCUGCCUCCUUCGUACUCAUUCAAGCUCCUUCGACUGGCAACCCCGUGACAGAAGACAGGAUCCUAAAAGGAUAGACUGGGCUGAGGAUUUACUACUUAACAUCCAGCAGGAGGGACGGCCAUUGGAACGAUAUGUGGAGUUCCUGAGUGUUUAUCAUCUGUUAUAGACCUGUAACAGACAUUCUAAAUCACGUCCUCAAUAAUCGUCCUGAUCCCAUCUGGAAGCAUGUAGGCGCUCCGGCUCACCUUAAAUCAGCACCUUUCAUAUACUGCUCCAAUGAGCCCGCUCCCUUCGUUCAACCCAUGCCUUUGGGAUCCCAUCCAAGAUCCAUUUCAGCCCAGAAAAUGAGGCACCAGCGCUCCUGGAUUUGGCUCUUCCUCUGGAGAUCUCUGCUCCUAUCUUCUCACCUGAGUCUGCUCCAGAAAGCUCUCCUGAGUUUCCUUCAUCUCUGCUAGUCCCUUCCAGCCCUCCUUCAUUUCCUGAGUCUCCUGUGUUAGCGCCCUCCAACUGCCUGCCCCUCGAGAGCGCCUAGUUUUCCCAAAGAAAAUUUUGGGAGGCAGUCUAUAUAAAUGUGGCCACACCGGCUAAGGCCACGGAGGAUCUGCCUUGGCCUUAAAUUCUAUUUUCUUUGAAAUAUAGUUCUGUCUGUAUUUAUUUUAUUUUUCUGUGCAAUAAAUAACGUGCAUUGUGAAGGUAUUAAGGACCA
ensembl:lncRNA